rnacentral:lncRNA from 1 species
CAGCAACAAUCCCCAUAAUGGAGGCUAUUUCUUAUGCUAUUUUGACCCUGGCAUUGGUAGCUACUCUGGCCCUUGUCUCAAAAAUUUUCUUCCCUCAAUCCCAGAAGCUAAAAUUUCCACCAGGCCCCAAACCAUGGCCUGUAAUUGGCAACCUCAACCACAUUGGUCCUCUGCCUCAUCAAUCCCUUCACAAAUUGUCCCAAAUUUAUGGACCAAUAAUGCAGCUCAAGUUUGGCUCGUAUCCAGUUGUGAUUGCCUCAUCUGCAGAAAUGGCAAAACAAUUUUUGAGGACACAUGAUCACAUCUUUGCCUCUAGACCCCAAACUGCAGCUGGUAAGUACACAACUUAUAACUACAGCAAUCUCACUUGGGCACCUCAUGGUCCAUACUGGCGCCAAGGCCGCAAAAUUUACCUCUCCCAUCUGUUUAGCUCAAAGAUACUAGACUCUGUCGAAUACAUUCGUGUUGAGGAAAAUCGCGCCUUUCUCUCGCGGCUCUGUGCCUUGUCAGGCAAGCCAACUAUGCUCAAAGAGCAUCUGUCACGCCUAACUCUUUCCAUUAUAAGUAGAAUUGUGUUGGGUAAGAAGUAUUUUAGUGUGUCUGAAUCUGAGAUUUCGAUAGUGACACUAGAAGAAUUUCAAGAGAUGUUAGAUGAGCUGUUCUUGCUUAAUGGGGUUUUGAACAUAGGGGAUUGGAUCCCAUGGGUUCAGUUUUUUGACUUGCAAGGGUUUGUAAAACGAAUGAAGGCCUUGAAGAAAAAAUUCGACCGGUUUCAUGAUCAUGUGUUUGAUGAACACAGGGCAAAGAAGGAAGGAGUUAAAGAUUUUGUGCCAAAUGACAUGGUGGACUUAUUGUUGCAGCUGGCUGAAGAUCCUGAUAUUGAAGUGAAGCUGAAUUAUGACAGUGUCAAGGGAUUCACUCAGGUAUGUAUGUUUUAUAUGUACAAUCACCAAAUUUUAUUCAUCACAUGACGUGAUGAUUUUUAUUCUUAUAAAUCUUAUUUAAAUUUGGUCCCAAUCUAAACCUCAAUGUGAACUGUUCCAUUUUGUAUCAGGAUUUAAUAGCGGGAGGAACUGAUACCUCUGCAACCACUGUGGAGUGGGCAAUGUCUGAGCUCAUGAAACAACCACACCUCAUCGAAAAGGCAACCGAAGAGCUCGACAGAGUGAUCGGGAGAGGGAGAUGGGUAGAAGAGAAAGACAUCCCACAACUUCCUUACAUAGAUGCAAUUAUGAAAGAGACAAUGAGGAUGCACCCAGUUGCUGUAAUGCUAGCUCCACAUCUAGCUCUUGAAGAUUGCAAUGUGGGAGGUUAUGAUAUUUGCAAAGGAACUAGAGUGUUCGUAAACACAUGGAGCAUGGGGAGAGAGCCUUCACAAUGGGAUGCACCAGAUGAGUUCAACCCUGAUAGAUUCUUAGGGAGGUCAAUUGAUGUGAAAGGACAAAACUUUGAGCUCCUGCCAUUUGGCUCGGGAAGGAGGAUGUGCCCUGGUUAUAGCCUUGGACUGAAAAUGAUAAGGUCUAGUUUGGCUAACUUGUUACAUGGAUUUAAUUGGAAAUUACCUGGCAAUAUGAAACCAGAAGAUUUGAGCAUGGAGGAAGUUUUCGGAUUGGCUACACCUCGGAAGUUCCCACUUGUUGCAGUUGUGGAGCCUCGGCUCCCUGCCCAUCUUUAUUAA